AGUUGUGCGCAGAGGCAGUGUCGCAUCCAAUGAAGUGGCAACUGAGGAGUGACUAUUUUUAGUUGAAAACUUUUUUAUUCACAAAAAGCAGCACUUUUGGGUGUUACUGCUCGAACCUUCUGUCCAUCUUGCGGGCAUACGCUUGGA